rnacentral:rRNA from 1 species
AUACGUAGGGAGCGAGCGUUGUCCGGAAUUACUGGGUGUAAAGGGAGCGUAGGCGGGAGUGCAAGUCAGAUGUGAAAUACAUGGGCUCAACCCAUGGGCUGCAUUUGAAACUGCAUUUCUUGAGUGAAGUAGAGGUAAGCGGAAUUCCUGGUGUAGCGGUGAAAUGCGUAGAUAUCAGGAGGAACACCGGUGGCGAAGGCGGCUUACUGGGCUUUUACUGACGCUGAGGCUCGAAAGCGUGGGGAGCAAACAGGAUUAGAUACCCUGGUAGUCCACGCUGUAAACGAUGAUUACUAGGUGUGGGGGGACUGACCCCUUCCGUGCCGCAGUUAACACAAUAAGUAUUCCACCUGGGGAGUACGAUCGCAAGAUUGAAACUCAAAGGAAUUGACGGGG